rnacentral:lncRNA from 1 species
GUCCUGUCACUAAAUGGCUAGAUCCACAUCAUGUGUAGAAUUGAUAUGACAGUCAUAUGUAAGAGCUUGGCAAUAUUUUGUUUUCUCUUUGAUAAUGUUCAAUCAUUACACAUUGGAAUACCGAAUAAUUGCUUAAAUCAAUCCACAAAACUCAACAAAUAUGUUGUCAAUCAAAAAAGAUCAGCAUUGCUAAAAAAUCUGCUGCAGUCUCAUAUAAGGAACUUG